GGCUGGUCCGAACAUACUGAGUUCUCUCAACUGAUUGUUAACAGUCAAUUGCAAAUGGAAAUGCUUGUUCUAUUUCUUUCCCUCUUCUUACUACUGCACUUGACUAGCCUAAA
rnacentral:Y_RNA from 1 species